CUCCUUAGAUAAAGGAGAAAUAAUAUACUGGCUGAACAGAAUGUUGAAUUAUGCUGCAAAGACAAAGCGAGCUUUAACAAGGAUGAGGAGUGAAGUACCAAACAGAGCACAGCCUUAGCGUUAAAGCGAUCCCAGCUUCUCACUGAGAAUUCUUGCUUGAUAAGCACACCUUACAAACUGUAAUGGAUCAGAUCUACAGGCAACAAGAAAGAAGGCUCAGACAAGGACACGGCAAAGAAAAAGAAGAAAAAAAUCACAAUGAAGGAGGAAGAUGGGCACUGAACUGGAGAUGGAAUAAUAGUCUAUGGGAGGUUUAAAUGAGGAUCUCAGUGAGAAGAAGAGGAUUUAAUACUUCUUGAAACCAGGCAAGCCAGCUGGAGUGCUUCCUUUCAUAGACAAGAGGAUCAGUGGCAAGUACCAGGAACAAGACAUCAAUAGAGAACAUGCAGCCAGUGACAGGCAAAAGAAAAAAACAAGGAACUCAG